rnacentral:rRNA from 1 species
CGUGCGGAAAAGAGUUUGAUCCUGGCUCAGAACGAACGCUGGCGGCGUGGAUUAGGCAUGCAAGUCGUAAGCGAAAGUCUCCUUCGGGGGAUGAGUAGAGUGGCGAACUGGUGAGUACAAGGUGACUAACCUGCCCUUGAGUGGGGGAUAGAAACCGAAGCUAAUACCGCAUGGUUUCUUGAUCUCUCGGGGUUGAGAAUAAAGCAGUAAUGCGCUCAAGGAUGGGGUCACCCCCCAUUAGCUUGUUGGUAGGGUAACGGCCUACCAAGGCUGCGAUGGGUAGCUGGACUGAGAGGUUGGCCAGCCACACUGGGACUGAGAUACGGCCCAGACUCCUACGGGGGGCAGCAGUCUAGAGGCUUCGACAAUGCCCGAAAGGGUGAUCGAGCGACGCCGCGUGCGGGAUGAAGGUCUUCGGAUUGUAAACCGCUUUUGUUUGGGAAGAAGGCCUGUGUCGUGAACAUGGGAUUGACGGUACCAAACGAAUAAGCCCCGGCUAACUCCGUGCCAGCAGCCGCGGUAAGACGGAGGGGGCAAGCGUUGUUCGGAAUCAUUGGGCGUAAAGGGCUCGUAGGCGGACUAGUAAGUCUGGCGUGAAAUCUCCACCGCUCACCGGGGAGAGGUCGCUGGAUACUGCUAGUCUUGAGUUCGGUAGAGGGUCGUGGAAUUUCGGGUGUAGCGGUGGAAUGCGUAGAUAUCCGAAAGAACACCGGUGGCGAAGGCGGCGACCUGGGCCUGAACUGACGCUGAGGAGCGAAGGCUAGGGGAGCAAACGGGAUUAGAUACCCCGGUAGUCCUAGCUGUAAACGGUGGAUACUAGGUGUGGGGGGUAUUCGACCCCUCCUGUGCCGUAGUCAACACAUUAAGUAUCCCGCCUGGGAAGUACGGCGCAAGGUUGAAACUCAAAGGAAUUGACGGGGGCCCGCACAAGCGGUGGAGCAUGUGGUUUAAUUCGACGCAACGCGAAGAACCUUACCCGGGCUCGAAAUGUUAGGGACAUCCCUGGAAACAGGGCUUCUAUUCUUUCGGGAUAGAUCCUAGUAUAGGUGCUUGCAUGGCUUGUCGUCAAGCUCGUG